GAUGAACGCUGGCGGCGUGCCUAAUACAUGCAAGUCGAGCGAACAGACGAGGAGCUUGCUCCUCUGACGUUAGCGGCGGACGGGUGAGUAACACGUGGAUAACCUACCUAUAAGACUGGGAUAACUUCGGGAAACCGGAGCUAAUACCGGAUAAUAUAUUGAACCGCAUGGUUCAAUAGUGAAGGACGGUUUUGCUGUCACUUAUAGAUGGAUCCGCGCCGCAUUAGCUAGUUGGUAAGGUAACGGCUUACCAAGGCAACGAUGCGUAGCCGACCUGAGAGGGUGAUCGGCCACACUGGAACUGAGACACGGUCCAGACUCCUACGGGAGGCAGCAGUAGGGAAUCUUCCGCAAUGGGCGAAAGCCUGACGGAGCAACGCCGCGUGAGUGAUGAAGGUCUUCGGAUCGUAAAACUCUGUUAUUAGGGAAGAACAAAUGUGUAAGUAACUAUGCACGUCUUGACGGUACCUAAUCAGAAAGCCACGGCUAACUACGAG
rnacentral:rRNA from 1 species